GAUUAGUGGCGAACGGGUGAGUAACACGUGAGUAACCUGCCCUCUUCUUUGGGAUAACGGUCGGAAACGGCUGCUAAUACUGGAUAUUCACUCAUUGGCGCAUGUUGGUGGGUGGAAAGGUUUUUUCUGGUGGGGGAUGGGCUCGCGGCCUAUCAGCUUGUUGGUGGGGUGAUGGCCUACCAAGGCUUUGACGGGUAACCGGCCUGAGAGGGUGACCGGCCAGAUUGGGACUGAGACACGGCCCAGACUCC
rnacentral:rRNA from 1 species